UUGAACGCUGGCGGCAUGCUUUACACAUGCAAGUCGAACGGCAGCGCGGGCUUCGGCCUGGCGGCGAGUGGCGAACGGGUGAGUAAUGCAUCGGAACGUGCCCAGUAGUGGGGGAUAGCCCGGCGAAAGCCGGAUUAAUACCGCAUACGACCUGAGGGUGAAAGCGGGGGACCGAAAGGCCUCGCGCUAUUGGAGCGGCCGAUGUCGGAUUAGCUAGUUGGUGGGGUAAAGGCUUACCAAGGCGACGAUCCGUAGCUGGUCUGAGAGGACGACCAGCCACACUGGGACUGAGACACGGCCCAGACUCCUACGGGAGGCAGCAGUGGGGAAUCUUGGACAAUGGGGGCAACCCUGAUCCAGCCAUGCCGCGUGCGGGAAGAAGGCCUUCGGGUUGUAAACCGCUUUUGUUCGGGAAGAAAUCCUCUGGGCUAAUACCCCGGGGGGAUGACGGUACCGGAAGAAUAAGCACCGGCUAACUACGUG
rnacentral:rRNA from 1 species